rnacentral:sRNA from 1 species
CAGGACAGACAGUGAUAGUUUGAGCUUUCCCCACACCACCCUGUCCAUGUGCCUCAACCUUGGCCUGGAAGAACCACCUCUAGA